UCGAACCCUGCAAAGCAGAGAYGACCCGCGAACUUGUACCUACAAUCGGGWGUCAUGGAUAUUGGCUCUGGCCUUUGUCCAUGGAGCCCUGUCGGCAUAUGGUUGUGGUGCCCCAUUUGGAUGCCAUGGAUGCCAUGGAURAACUCUAACAACCCCCGCACGGARURUGCCAAGAAAAACAAAAAACUGAGAAGGACGCGUCCAWUGUUGCCCGGUUCGCGGUGUGCUUCGUGCGUGGCCUCCUUGAAAUCA
rnacentral:misc_RNA from 1 species